AGAGUUUGAUCCUGGCUCAGGAUGAACGCUGGCGGCGUGCCUAACACAUGCAAGUCGAGCGAUUCUCUUCGGAGAAGAGCGGCGGACGGGUGAGUAACGCGUGGGUAACCUGCCCUGUACACACGGAUAACAUACCGAAAGGUAUGCUAAUACGGGAUAAAAUAUUUUUAUCGCAUGAUAAAAAUAUCAAAGCUUUUGCG
rnacentral:rRNA from 1 species